AUGCUUAACUAACGUACAUGUGCAUGUUUCGGUCGGUUAACGCAUGAGACGAAUGGAAUGAUGUAGCAGAAGGACCUUUCUUUUGUUUUAUUUUGUAAUAAAGAAAUUAACUCAAUGAGUAAGUUCUACGAGCAAUUCUGGUUCAUAAUGGUUUAAGUUUCUACCAGACUUUUCUUUUGUACAUAUAGAUGGCACCACGAAACGUCUAAUUUCUGAAUGGUUACUAAGCAUCUGAUCAAGAACUUUUGGUCUAGACGCUUCAGUAAACUCUACAACUAUAAAGCUGGAUAAAUAUAAUGGAACGAAUACAGGGCCAUCGGCUCAAGAUUCAAACCAUUUCCCCGAACUUUAUUCAUUUUCUCCUCUGUACAUUGAAUGGUAUUUUUGGAUGAUAAUUGUUGUCGUUUGUUGUACUACUCUCGCUUCCAUUUUACUGUGUCUCAUUUGUUGUCGAAAGCCUUAUAAGACAGCAGUGGUUCGUCUUUCAGAAGAAAUUCCAUCUCAUUUUCCGGGGACAGUUUUGGCUGCAGAGGGAAUCAUCCAGCCGGACGUCUCAUUCUACACGCAGGUACAGCCUUGCAAUGGGGUUGUUGCCAAAUCGCCGAAAAUCAGCGAUCUUCGGCCGGAAACUCCGAGAUUGCCAACCCCCUGCAAGCCUUUGGAACCUGCUUACCAACCGACACAACUUCUCACCAUUACCACUGUCAGACUUCCCUACUUGACGUCUGACCUGGCCUUGCCUCCGGGUUAUGUGUCUUUAAGAGAUGUUAAAUAACUCUGUUUUGAAAAGAAAAUUGUACAGUAAAAUUUAGAGGAUAGUUGUUUUUAUCAUGAAAACUUCCAUUGUGUUAAAAAAUCUGUUACCUUAAUUAUCAUCGUUAUAGAUUUUCAUACGUUAGUCAAUAAUAUAGUAGUUGUAACAUGAAAUUGUUCCAAUGGCUCUUCCGAAUAAAUGAAGUAUGAGAUGAUUUUAUAUUGGUUUAUUGUACAAAUGGACACGGAAUGAUUUUCAAUGAAUUCUAGCUCAUUGUAUAAAAACCAGAAAGUGAAUUUAGACAUUCGGCUUUCCUCUUCAUUUUUCCAUUUUGCUGAAUAAAUAACAUACUGUUUCCUUAAAAUUUCUGUUACCUUAAUUAUCAUUGU